AGAGAUUUAGGUUAAUAUAAAGACCAAGAGCCUUCAAAGCCCUAAGCGAAAGUGAAAAUCUUUUAAUCCCUG
rnacentral:tRNA from 1 species